CCCUCUCCCAUCCCUCUCCCAUCCCUCUCCCAUCCCCCUCCCAUCCCUCUCCCAUCCCUCUCCCAUCCCUCUCCCAUCCCUCUCCCAUCCCCUCCCAUCCCCCUCCCAUCCCCCUCCCAGCCAGCAGGUUUCCAAAGUUCCCCCAGCUCCCUCCGUAACUGUUGUGUGAUUUGAGCGACUUGUUCCGCUUGUUAUCCUUCUCGUGUUGACUUUAGGCCUCAGCUGCCUCUUGGAUGAGUUUGUCUCUAUUCGUUUUUAUUAUUUUAUGGAAAACGCAGGCCGCCUGUGGUGCUUGUUGGUCAGACGAUGGAUCCCCUAUAGUGGGUUUAUUGGUAGGAAGGUUAGGGUCCCCUAUAGUGGGUUUAUUGGUAGGAAGGUUAGGGUCCCCUAUAGUGGGUUUAUUGGUAGGAAGGUUAGGGUCCCCUAUAGUGGGUUUAUUGGUAGGAAGGUUAGGAUCCCCUAUAGUGGGUUUAUUGGUAGGAAGGUUAGGAUCCCCUAUAGUGGGUUUAUUGGUAGGAAGGUUAGGGUCCCCUAUAGUGGGUUUAUUGGUAGGAAGGUUAGGGUCCCCUAUAGUGGGUUUAUUGGUAGGAAGGUUAGGAUCCCCUAUAGUGGGUUUAUUGGUAGGAAGGUUAGGAUCCCCUAUAGUGGGUUUAUUGGUAGGAAGGUUAGGGUCCCCUAUAGUGGGUUUAUUGGUAGGAAGGUUAGGGUCCCCUAUAGUGGGUUUAUUGGUAGGAAGGUUAGGGUCCCCUAUAGUGGGUUUAUUGGUAGGAAGGUUAGGAUCCCCUAUAGUGGGUUUAUUGGUAGGAAGGUUAGGGUCCCCUAUAGUGGGUUUAUUGGUAGGAAGGUUAGGAUCCCCUAUAGUGGGUUUAUUGGUAGGAAGGUUAGGAUCCCCUAUAGUGGGUUUAUUGGUAGGAAGGUUAGGAUCCCCUAUAGUGGGUUUAUUGGUAGGAAGGUUUACAAUAACUGAGGUUAUGUUUUCAACAGGCUUCACAUGAAGAACACAUCUGGCCCAUUAAAAAAAAAGAAGCUAAUUGUGUACAUUCAGAAACAUUACCGGCAGUAUUUGUUGUGGUUUUGUGUCUAUUCUGUCAACAUUGUCAUACCUUUAUCUCCAAUACUCCAACAAGACUGAAACUGGUCGAUGAAUUCCAGACCUCAUCACCUCCCCCCCUCCUUUGUCUGGCUUUUUUUUCCUUUGGCAAAAUAAUAAUUAGACUGCAAAGUAGUCUCAUUGUCAAUCACUACAUCCUUCCACUGGUCCCGCAAUCAAUGAGAUUGAUUAUAAUUUCCCCGUACUAGUGUAUUAAGGGAAUAGUUUGUAGUUAAUACACAAAAUGAAUGAGUACAAGUAUACGCCUGUAGGUGUCUAUUCAUCUAUUAAACUCAGUGUACAUGCAGCACAACGAACUGUAGGAUAUUUUCCUAUUAUCUUCUGAUGCAGGAAAUGUACUGAUUUAACUCAAUUACUACAAGCAAUAGGAAUGUUCUUCAUUCAGAUGCUAUACGUCUGAAGUCAUCAGAAUUGAUCUCCCAAAUAUCUUCUUGGUUGUGACCGUCAGACUUACACUGCAAGGCAGAAAAUAUGCUGAAAAACGAUAUAAAAAGGGAACGAGGUGUGUUUGCCCUAAAAUUACAAUCAUCUGCAUAUGCUAUCAACGAGCACAAAACAGAUGCAGAAAAAAGAGAUGAAAGCAAGGGUUCAAAGCAGAUGUGCAUUUUGCAGGCAGGGUUUCUUAUGUUGAGAAAUGAGCUCUAUCUGAUCAACAGGCAAGUGGAGAUGGAGGAUGGGAGACUAGAGGUGCUGGAAACACUCCUGUCCUCUCUGUCCCUCUUUGGCGCGUUAAUCAGUCUGGCCCUGAACCCUCAUCAUGGUGCUGCGUUGAACCUAUAUGGGAGCUUUGUUUGGGUAGAGCACAGUUCAUCUUCCCUUUUUCAUUUGUUCCUCCACUAUUGGCCCCUUAGAUAAACUAAAUCUCUGGCUGGAUUUUGUUUUACUCCAUUUCUGAAAAUGUUUAGUUUUUUUAAAAGAACUAAAAUCAUGACAUUGUUUUGUAAUAUCACAUAAACACCGCUGGGCCCAGACACCAAUAUGUCUCUUGUGACAGUGUACAUGUGUAGAUACUGAACCGCCAUUGUCCUUUUGAAACAGGAGGCAGAAGACAAGAAGGGAAGCUUGGCUGGAACUAGUGCUAGCUCUUCUCACAGCUAGUUAUACUGCCAGGCAUAUCUGCAAGGUUUCACAGAUCUUUUAGCAGCCAGUUCUUUAAUACUGCACAUUGUUAUGAUCUUAAAUGGUUUUUUCUUUCUUUUCCUCCAUCUUUUUCCUUUUCUUUUACCUGUACCGGAUUUUCGGUUAGAUUCCCAAAUGUUCAUUGUAUUUGAAAGCAUUGUGUGUGGCUGAUUGUCUUACCUGUGGAUACCCAUUGAGUGUUUAGGCUUUGUUUAAUGGCCAAAAUCAGUCAGUCAGUUAGUCAGUCAGCCAUUUAAAGCACAGUCUGAUUGCUCAUUCAGUUAAAAAGCCAAGAUCACUUAAGAUAGUCAACCAUUGAGCGCUUCAUUAGUGAAGGAGGACUACUUUAUGGAGAAGAGAUCAGUGUAGCGAUUUUGAAUUGACCAUUUGAUUGCUAGUUGAAGUCAGCGUGGGUGCUGCAGACUCUGGGACUGACCUUAGGAAUGGGUGUUUAGAGGGACACGAUGAGAAUGUGGAUAUAAAAGUGAUAGGGAAGUCUUGGCAGCCCAUGGUUUUGUAUGUUGCAUUUCAUCACUGGUAAUGAUGAAGGCACUAAUGAAAAACUCCCGGACAGCCGUAGGGUAUGUAGUAAAUCCACCCCCACAGCUCAGAGGAGAUGGGAUGGGCUGGAAAGAGCUCAUGGAUGUGAUCAGAGGUAAAGAGGAAGGGAAAGACAAUGACUGGAUCACCCUCUUAACUGUGUGUGUGCUUGUGUGUCUGUGUGCGAGUGAGUACAUUUUGUUUAAAAAGACAAUACAUUUUUUUAAAUACUGCUGGAGAUGUACCUGCCAGAGAGAUUACGAUGAUAUGAAAAAAGAAAAUAAGCCUUGUACAAGGCUUGUUACAUUACGGAGAAAACUGCCAAGAAGUACUGCUGAUUGAGGCCUAUUUUAUUCAGUGCUGGUGUGUUGUUGUGCUUCUUGUAAAUAAAUGUCUUUUCAAUCAUCCCUUUUUCCUCUGGGGGCGGGGCAUCAAGGCAAGGGGUUGGUCUUACUCAUGAAAGAGGGAAAAGAAUAGAGUAUUUUGUUAUUGUCCAAUCAGAGGGUGAGACCGUAUGUGUAUAUAUCUAUAUUGUAUAUAUGUGAUGAAAAUGUGUUGGCUUUUUGUGACACUACCUUUUACCUGUACUAUGGUUCUACAUUCAGUGUUUCAGUGUUGAUAAUAUAUAUUUUUAUGUUUUUUUGAUUUUGUCUUUGUCAUUUCUUGUAUUUGUUUUCUUUUUCUCCUUUUUGUCCUCUUGGUUAUUGCACGGUUUAUUACUUUUGCUGUCCAAUGAGGUGAUACAGCUACUCUUUGUAUUGGUUUAGUGCUGUAAAAUAACUUGUUAUUAGAGUUGUCGAUACCACCCCCAUCCCCAAUAUGCAUGAAUGGCACUUAAACAAAUAAAAUGUUCACUUCACUGUG